AAAAAAUAGAAUGUUCAGUUAAUGUUUAAAUUUUAGUGUGACCUAUAUUCAAACUAUUAAGUGAAUAAUUGUCAUUAAAAAUACUAAUUAAGUUGAAAAAGCAUUUACAAAGGAUUAAAUGUUCACUUAAAGUUGAAAAAUUAAAAAAUGAAAUAUGAAAAUCUAAAAGUCCAUUAAAAUUUUGAUGUCCACUUGAAUCCUGGUUUACGACAUUUAUUCAGGAUAUAUGAAUAAUUGUUUUAAUACAUCGUAAAGUUGUAUUGUUUAGAAACAUUUCACAAAAACACAAAAUUCACCAAUAAAAUCUAAAGAGUUCAUCUAAAGUUUAAUAAUCGACAAUAAAUGUAUGAAAAACCAAAACGUCAAACCAUCAAAUUAAAUCCGAAACACAUUUUAAAACAGUCGCAGCGUUCCCAAACGCAUUCCUCAACAACCGCAAAAAUCACGGAUAAAAAGCCGAACGCGAAGUUUAAACCUCCAACACAAUUGAGCCGCGAUCAUCCAGAUCACAGCGACUCAUUCACGUUAUCCUCCCGACGGGAUAAUUGAGUUGGUACAUUUUAAAAUAGUUGGAAUGUCUGGGACACAAUAGAAAGUAAUUUGAAUUUGGCACGGAGCUCGCGUCAAAGGAAUUUCCGGCAAGGAAUCCGGACUCUUUAACUUUAACGCACAACACGUCUCCGUGCUUGUGCACUUGUUUCUUUCCCCCGUGUGUGCGUGGGCGUUGAAAAUAUCGCGGACACGAAAAAAAAAAAAAUGUUACCCCCCUCGUAAAACUUAAAUUCUAGACGCUCAAUUCGACGUUACGUGUGUACAUGUAAUGUGUUUAAUGGUGUUUAUUCGGCACGUUCGACUGAAAUAGAUAUUGAAAUUAAUUAAAACCGGGGUGAACUGUUUGUCCGCAAUUUUUAAAACGUCGUUCCAAAUUAGGGCGCUUCUGUGGAUGGAUCUUUCCAUUUGAAUUUGUUCCCUCUUAUUAAUUUCGAUCCGACAGUUAUUAGAAAUUCGGAUUUUUUUGGGGGCGGAGGGGUUGAAUAUCUAUGUCAGUUCGAGUUGUGCAAAUUCGCUCUAAUAAAUGUAAUUCAGAAAAAAACCAAUAGAUAAGCUUAAGAAUAAUAAACAUUAAGUACACGUAUAUUCUAAAGAAAUUUUAAAAUUUAAGAUAUGUAAAAUUUAGGCUACUACAGAUUUAUUAAAACUAAGAUUUUCCAAAUUUAGACAUAGCGAAAAUAUAUAUAUAGAAAUAAUCAGCUUUGUUUUGUUAUUGAUACUAUUUGUAAACAAUUCACUAAAAAUAGUAAUUUAAAUGGAAAUAUUUAUUUUUAUUUACAUUUCUGCAACUGCCAAAAUAUAUUGGAAAAAUGUAAAUGUCAUUGAUUUUAUAAAAUACAUAUCUUUUGUCACAAUAAAAAAAUUCAACUUCACAUGUGUUGUAUUAAACUCAAAAAAUAUUACGUUACUGUUAGAAAUAUAAAUAAAAAUAUUUCACUUUAAAUUGAUCUGAGCAAUACUUUUGAAUGAAUAAGUUGUUUAAGUUAACAAUUAACCACCAUGAACAAGUCACAACUGAUUGAUAAACAUUUAAAUUUAAACAAGGUAUUCAUUUAAUUUUUUUACUUAUAAUAAGAGGCUUUAAUUCCAUACGCUUUACAGUACAUAAUCAAUAAAACAUGAUAGAAAUAUUGACAAAUAUUGAUCAUUAAUAAUUUAAUUGUUUUGAUUACAAGCAAUCACUUGUUCGUUUACCAAUUCUAAAUCAUGAUGUUUUCCAUAUUUUGCAUGAAAUAAAAUUGUAUUACUGUGAUUGCACCGAAGCACAACUUUGAAUUAUCAAUGUAAAUAAUUCUAAUUGAUCAUUAGUGUAAGUGCUUUUCGUACAAAACAAAUUACAUCACAUUCAACAACAAAAAAAAAAUCACCUGCUGUAUCGAUUUCUGUAAUACUCUUAAGGUUAUUAUAAAUAAACAUUAAAAAAGUUGA